UACGUAGGGGGCAAGCGUUUGUCCGGAUUUACUGGGCGUAAAGAGCGUGUAGGCGGCCAAACAGGUCCGUUGUGAAAACUGGAGGCUCAACCUCCAGACGUCGACGGAAACCGUGUGGCUAGAGUCCGGAAGAGGAGAGUGGAAUUCCUGGUGUAGCGGUGAAAUGCGCAGAUAUCAGGAAGAACACCAAUGGCGAAGGCAGCUCUCUGGGACGGUACUGACGCUGAGACGCGAAAAGCGUGGGGAGCGAACAGG
rnacentral:rRNA from 1 species